GUAGGGUGGCUUGUCGCUCGUCACCUGGCAACGGGUAUCGAGAGGAAAGUCCGGGCAACACAGAGCAUCACAUUUCUUAACGGGAAACUGUGGGUGACUGCAGAGUUCAAGGUGACAGAAAACAACCGCCGCGCGCUCCCGUGUGGGGCAGUGCGGUAAGGGUGAAAAGGCGGGGUAAGAGCCCACCGGGCGCGGUGGUGACACCGUGUGCCGCACCACUUGUGAGUUGCAAGGUCAAGUAUACCGGCAUCUAAGGGCUGCUCGUCCAUUGCCGGGGGGUAGACUGCUAUACCGGCGCAGCAAUGCGUCGGACAGAUAAAUGACAGGCGGCCACCUUGUGUGGCUACAUAACCCGGCUUAUAGCCCUACUGC
rnacentral:RNase_P_RNA from 1 species